rnacentral:rRNA from 1 species
AUUGAACGCUGGCGGCAGGCUUAACACAUGCAAGUCGAGCGAGCGGCGGACGGGUGAGUAAUGUCUGGGAAACUGCCUGAUGGAGGGGUAUCACUACUGGAAACGGUAGCUAAUACCGCAUACCAUCUGAUGUGCCCAGAUGGGAUUAGCUAGUUGGUGGGGUAAUGGCUCACCUAGGCGACGACCCCUAGCUGGUCUGAGAGGAUGACAAGCCACACUGGAACUGAGACACGGCCCAGACUCCUACGGGAGGCAGCAGUGGGGAAUAUUGCGCAAUGGGGGCAAGCCUGAUGCAGCCAUGCCGCGUGUAUGAAGAAGGCCUUCGGGUUGUAAAGCACUUUCAGCGGGGAGGCGUUACGCGCAGAAGAAGCACCGGCUAACUCCGUGCCAGCAGCAGCGGUAAUAC